rnacentral:rRNA from 1 species
AACGAACGCUGGCGGCAGGCUUAACACAUGCAAGUCGAACGGGUGCAGCAAUGCAUCAGUGGCAGACGGGUGAGUAACACGUGGGAACCUUCCUAGGGGUACGGAACAACUCAGGGAAACUGGAGCUAAUACCGUAUACGUCCGUGAGGAGAAAGAUUUAUCGCCCUUAGACGGGCCCGCGUCGGAUUAGCUAAUUGGUGGGGUAACGGCCUACCAAGGCGACGAUCCGUAGCUGAUCUUAGAGGAUGAUCAGCCACACUGGGACUGAGACACGGCCCAGACUCCUACGGGAGGCAGCAGUGGGGAAUCUUGGACAAUGGGCGCAAGCCUGAUCCAGCCAUGCCGCGUGAGUGAAGAAGGUCUUCGGAUUGUAAAGCUCUUUUGCCAGGGACGAUAAUGACGGUACCUGGAGAAUAAGCCCCGGCAAACUUCGUGCCAGCCGCCGCAGUAA